AGUGAACGCUGGCGGUAGGCCUAACACAUGCAAGUCGAACGGCAGCACAGUAAGAGCUUGCUCUUACGGGUGGCGAGUGGCGGACGGGUGAGGAAUACAUCGGAAUCUACUUUUUCGUGGGGGAUAACGUAGGGAAACUUACGCUAAUACCGCAUACGACCUACGGGUGAAAGCAGGGGAUCUUCGGACCUUGCGCGAUUGAAUGAGCCGAUGUCGGAUUAGCUAGUUGGCGGGGUAAAGGCCCACCAAGGCGACGAUCCGUAGCUGGUCUGAGAGGAUGAUCAGCCACACUGGAACUGAGACACGGUCCAGACUCCUACGGGAGGCAGCAGUGGGGAAUAUUGGACAAGGGGCGAAAGCCUGAUCCAGCCAUACCGCGUGGGUGAAGAAGGCCUUCGGGUUGUAAAGCCCUUUUGUUGGGAAAGAAAAGCAGCAGGUUAAUACCCCGCUGUUCUGACGGGACCCAAAGAAUAAGCACCGGCUAACUUCG
rnacentral:rRNA from 1 species